rnacentral:rRNA from 1 species
GACGAACGCUGGCGGCGUGCCUAAUACAUGCAAGUCGAGCGCAGGAAGCUGACGGAACUCUUCGGAGGGAAGGCAGUGGAAUGAGCGGCGGACGGGUGAGUAACACGUAAGGAACCUGCCUCAAGGAUUGGGAUAACUCCGAGAAAUCGGAGCUAAUACCGGAUAGUUCAACGGACCGCAUGGUCCGGUGAUGAAAGGCGCUUCGGCGUCACCUUGAGAUGGCCUUGCGGUGCAUUAGCUAGUUGGUGGGGUAACGGCUCACCAAGGCGACGAUGCAUAGCCGACCUGAGAGGGUGAUCGGCCACACUGGGACUGAGACACGGCCCAGACUCCUACGGGAGGCAGCAGUAGGGAAUCUUCCACAAUGGACGAAAGUCUGAUGGAGCAACGCCGCGUGAGUGAUGAAGGUUUUCGGAUCGUAAAACUCUGUUGUAAGGGAAGAACACGUACGAGAGGGAAUGCUCGUACCUUGACGGUACCUUACGAGAAAGCCACGGCUAACUACGUG